rnacentral:rRNA from 1 species
GAUGAACGCUGGCGGCGUGCCUAACACAUGCAAGUUGAGCGACGAACCAGGGCUUGCCCUGGGGCAAAGCAGCGAACGGGCGAGUAAGACGUGGGUAACUUACCCCGAUAACCGGGACAACUCGCGGAAACUCGGGCUAAUAACGGCCGUGUCCUAUGGACUACGGUUUAGUGCGUAAAGGAAGCUCGGGUUUCCGUACAGGGAGGGGCCCGCGGCCGACUAGUUAGUUGGUGAGGUAACGGCUCACCAAGCACGCGAUGGGUAGCUGGACUGAGAGGACGAUCGGCCACACUGGAACUGAGACACGGCCCAGACUCCUACGGGAGGCAGCAGUAGGGAAUCUUGCGCAAUGCGCGAAAGCGUGACGCAGCAACGCCGCGUGGGGGAAGAAGGCCUUCGGAUUGUAAACCCCUGUCAGUAGGGACGAAGAAUCGGCGAUGAAUAGCCGUCCGGACUGACGGUACCUCCACAGAAAGCCCCGGCUAACUACGUG